GCCGGGGUGGCGGAGUGGCUAACGCGUCAGCCUCGAGAGCUGAUGGGCCCUUGCGGCCCCCAUGGGUUCAAGUCCCAUCCCCGGCGCCA
rnacentral:tRNA from 1 species